UCAUGCCAGGUUUAAAGAGUGGCUAGAAAUGAUAACCCUUAUCAACUCCCCACUUGAAACCACACUGUCGCAGUUCUGGUGGGGGAAGGGGAACAUUGUUUUAAAGCAGUGAAAAAACAAGUUACAUCUGUUUAAAAAAUUUACCUAUGGCAUGUAAAAUACUGGAUUCCAACAGUCUCUGAUUCCUCAGUCUAACAACAAAUAUUUUGGAACUACUUCAUAAUGGAAUAUGAUCUCUAGAGUGGAAGUGGUUCUGGGUUUAUUUGUGCAUAUUGUGCUGCUCUGUGAUGGUGCUUCAGAAAUAGCACUGAUGGGCUCCAGGAAGAAUCCAAAUUCCCCAAGAAGAGGUCAAUAAAGACAAAUAAGGCAAGGCUGAAAAGAAGGGGAUAAAGGGAAGAAAAUAAAUUUUAUAAGAGCUCAUUAAAAACAACUGCAAGUGUCCUGAGGCAAGGAGGAGUCUAUUGUACAUCAGCCCUUAGAAAGGCAGAGAAUCCUUAAAAGCUGAAGACCAUGGAAGGGAAGUCAGAGAGAAACUAAGCUAUUUUUAAGUCUGGCUUAUGGUGCACUUGUGUAUGAAAGCUAAAGGAAGAUUUUAAAUAAACUAUGGUAUGGACUAAGCUCGAUUGGCUCUUCAGCCACUCUCUUCAAAGAACUCUUUCCUCCCUCUCCCAGAAAACUCUCCUCAACCUAAGCUAGUGCUGACCAACGUCUCUGGACAACAGGCUGCACAGCUCAAAGCAACUGUGGAAUGGUGCUGGAAGAAGGAUACCAGCAUUCCCUGUGGUUUAUGUCUUUCCAGCUUCCCUCUCCCGCCUUUCUGGGUCUCCACCUAAUGCAGAAAUCACUGUUUCAAGUACUGAUCCAGCAAAAAGGCUGUGAGCACAAUCGAGCUCACAACACAGUCACUAGUGGUGGCACACAAAAACAUAUUUUAGCAAAAAGAAAAGCCAGACUGAGAUGCUUUCUGGGAUGGCUCAAAGUCCUCAUGAAACCACUGGGCUGCCCUGGUAUAGAGGGCUGGGCUCCCUGGCACCUCCUCUGCCCACAGAGCACACCUGCUGUGCUUGCACAGAGUCACUAUGGGAAGACAGUGGCUCUGUCCCCACCAGAGAGGUCAGGAUGCCAGCACAGCAAAGUAUCCUUGAGUAAGCAGCUGUCCAAGACCAAACCAUUCCCAGAAAGACAGCAAUCCACAGGCUGCUGGGCUGUCUGUUUCAGCAGCUCAGAAAUGGAGAGGAGGCGGCAAGACAGGUGACUUUUGCCAGAAUUCAGAACCCAUGCAUCAUCAGGGUUGGCCUCUGAAAUGUCCUCCCCAGUCACACUCCAUCACAACCCAGCACGUGGCUGGGGGAGGUAAAACCAGUCAAGAAACCAAACUGGUGGUCAGGAACACGCAAUGUCACCCCCAGACAGCUCACCUUGCCCCAGCAUAAAGAGGACAAGGAUGACUUAUCCUUCUGAGUCACAACAGCCUCUGAGUUGUGGGUUGGCUGCCCUACCCUGAUGAGUCUCUCCCUGUUCCUGUUUACCAAGCAGAGAUCGUGUAGUGGGGAAAAAGAGGCUGUGAGAUGUGCUGACAAAUCACCACCAAACAGAACCAUGUAUUGGAGGGAGAGAGGACAAGAGUUCAGUACUGCAAAUACAGCGAAGGUUGAACUGUUAUGAACAGUACGGGGAUAAAAGCCUGAGUUAUUUGUGGCAGCUCAGGAACAGAGGAGUCACAGGCAUUUCUGCCAAUCUGCUCAUCUGAGGAGUGCUGGAAGCAGGCCAUUCACAGAUUCAUGGAGAGGUUUGGACAGGAAGGGACCGUGGGACGUUCCUUCUUCAUCCUUCUGCCCAAAGCAUAAGUAACUCUGAAACUUCUAUCAGUCAGCAGACUGAGGGCUCCCUCAGGCAAAUUUGAUGAGGGAGAUGCCAGUGCCUUUCCAGGCAUCCUGUUUGGGUGCACAACCAUUUUCACAAAGGAAAAUUCUUUCUUAUGUCCAGCUGGCAUUUCCUUUGCCACAACUUGUGACCCAUUGCCUCUUGUCCUUUUGUUCCAGUUGACAACACUCAGGUGACAAGCACACAAUGUCUCAGGAAUUAGCUACCAGCAAGUCUUAAACAAAAUUGUUCAACACUUUGAAUGGAAUUGAGGGUUGCUGCAAUCCUACCCUUUCAUCUCUCAGCUUGGGCCAUCCCUUUAUUGACUUGCCUUCAAUUAAUAAAGGGAACCCUGAAAAGUGUCCUCAACUUAAUGAGAAAAAAAAAAAAGGAGCAAUUUCUGAAAGUGACGUCAGUAGAUGAAAUCAUCAUCCAUUACUCUUUGGCCAGCUUUCCACCAGUUAUCUCCCUGAACCAGCUCACCACAGGACAGGGUAACAGCCUGUCUGCAUGAGGGAAGGAGUAGAAGCAUACAGCAAAUGCAAGGGCAGAAUCCCACAGCGCUGACAUAUAUCAUCCUAAAGUGCUGUGGAACCACUCCCUGUGUGCUCAGCACAGACAAGGAGGUGACAAGAGGGCUGGGACAAGAAACUGCAAAUUAAAUUCUCCUCUGCUCUGAGGGUAAGAAUGUCUCCCCCCUCAAGAAGUAGCAACAGAUCAACAGACUGAUACAUCUGAUUUGUUCCAUGCUACCUAGAAAUCUUGUCAAGACAAUUUUUCAAUGGUAUCCUGGCAGCCACCCCUCUCCCAGGAAAAAAAAAACUAAACAAAACUGCACAAAAAACAAACUCAGUAAAUCAACAUGACCUCUUAUUUAUCAAGACUAAAUCCACCAGAACAAAAAAUAGCCACCAUUCAACUAAAAGUAAGUUUGAAUCACACUUGUGCCUCUCAAAGGACUGUGGUUUUAUCUCAUGAGCAGUGAAAGAUCCAAAGCUAAGAAAAGCUGAUCUAUCUCAGAAGUUUCGUACAUACACCAAAUGGACUUUUUGGAUACUGUACUUGCUUUAAAAUAACCACCAGCAAAUGAUUUUACCAAUGCUGAGGCAGAAAAGUCCAGUGAUGACAAAGGCAGAGUUUUCAUAAAUCAUUUUGUUUGCUUCCUUAACAAAAGCACCUUUCUGGGGCAGGUGCAUUAAGGCACAGGGGAGACAAGGCAGUGCAAAAGAGGAAAUUUUUCUACCAACUGUGGCAGGGCAAAGCAACUUGUGCCUGUGCUGCUGCAGUCCCUCCCUCCCUCUUCCCCUGUGCUAGCUCUGGGGUGAGCACAGGAGUUCUCAGCCUGGAAAACAGGGGGAGGCAGGGAUGUGUGUUUUGACUGCUAGGAUGUGAUCUGGUGGGAGAAAACAGGAGAGAACCAGAGCAUACUGGUUUUAAAUCCCCUUAGUCCAAUGAAAAACAGGGGAGAAGUUAAAACGGUGGUCCUGACACCUGAGUCAUCUCCACAGCUCAGGUUUCUUUCCCACAGUGACAUCACCAAUCUAAAAUGGCACUGCCUGAUGCCAAUUCAAGAAGCCUCUUAUCAGAGCAUGUCACACACAGGCAACAUCCCUUGGCAGGCUGCAAAAAGCAUCUUGUGAACUUUGGGGUUCUUCUCCAUUAAGAGCCACGGGGAGCUUCUAUCCCACUUCUUAUCUAAAACCUUAGAUUCUGUUGUUUAUUAGCAAGUGUCAGUAUCUAACCAGAGUGCACAACCCUAAACUAACAAUGCUGAGCACAGAAAAAUAACAGUUUUGAGCAAAACCAGACUCCUCAACACUUCCUGAAAUUCACUUCACAAAAGCCUUUCUUGAGCAAGUCUUGUUUCAAAAGCAAAUCACUCACAUUUUAAACCUAAAUGUGAAAUGCCAUCACAAACUCCAGAAAGAGAUACACAGGGAAUAACUUCACAUCAUUUCCUCACUACCUCAUACAAAAGACAAACCAGCUCUAGGGCAAAGGCUGAAAUACCCAUUCUGAAAACCUCUUCCUCUCCCCUUGCUAAAGGGUUUCCUUCCAGUGUUAUUCCUAAGGACAGGCUUUGCCACUUACACUGCUUGAAAACUUCAUUCCCUCAAUCCCUUCUUCAGAUGUCUGGACCUUCAAUCCUUUAAAAUGAAGUCACCAUGAUGGAAUAAACACUGUGGAGCCUCCUCAGAAGAGAUCUCUGCCACAGUUCACUAGUACAACACACUGAGCUUCCAGCAGGAACAAUUCAAACUAUUAAAGAUAAUAUUCCUGCCAUAUUCAUCCUUUAACAAUGAACAAUGCCAGGGCCAUCCACACAGAACAGACUGACACCUUCACAAUGAGCAAAAAUUAAAUCCAUGUUAACAAGAAGACUCCAGACCUUGUCAGAAAUGCCCCUUUAUUACUUUCCCCAGUGCUCCAGUAUUCUUCACCACAUCAACCUCACUGCAGCAGUCCAAAAUUAAGCUCAACCUUCCUCCCUUCUGUUUCACUUAACUUCUGAGGCAUCGUAAUUCCAGAAAUCAGAGUCACCAGACCUUGCCAGCAAGAAGAAAACCUAUUUUAAUUCACAUUGCACCAGAGAUCCUCAGUUUACUGAAUUUUUUAGAAGUGCCCAUCUCCAAGGGCUCAGGACACAGCUGUGCCAGUGCCUCUGCUUCCAGGGCAUUCCACCUCAUUUACAUCCAUUCAUCAGGAGGACAAAACCUGCCCAUGCUGUACCUGCCUGCUGCACCCAGCAGCCACGGGACCUCCAACACUUCUGGAAAGGAGGCCAGAGUCCAGCAGAGCUGCCAGACACAUCCCCAGCCACUGAGCUGCAAUG